rnacentral:rRNA from 1 species
AGUGAACGCUGGCGGUAGGCCUAACACAUGCAAGUCGAACGGCAGCACAGUAAGAGCUUGCUCUUACGGGUGGCGAGUGGCGGACGGGUGAGGAAUACAGCGGAAUCUACUUUUUCGUGGGGGAUAACGUAGGGAAACUUACGCUAAUACCGCAUACGACCUACGGGUGAAAGCAGGGGAUCUUCGGACCUUGCGCGAUUGAAUGAGCCGAUGUCGGAUUAGCUAGUUGGCGGGGUAAAGGCCCACCAAGGCGACGAUCCGUUGCGGGUCUGAGAGGAUGAUCACCCACACUGGAACUGAGCCACGGUCCAGACUCCUACGGGAGGCAGCAGUGGGGAAUAUUGGGCAAUGGUCGCAAGCCUGAUCCAGCCAUACCGCGUGGGUGAAGAAGGCCUUCGGGUUGUGAAGCCCUUUUGUUGGGAAAGAAACGCAGCAGGUUAAUACCCCGCUGUUCUGACGGUACCCAAAGAAUAAGCACCGGCUAACUUCGUG